UACGUAGGGGCGAGCGUUGUCCGGAAUUACUGGGCGUAAAGAGCGCGUAGGCGGACGGGUACAUCCCCGUGAAAGCCCCUGGCUCAACUAGGGAGGCCGGGGAGAUGGCGCGUCUGGAGGUGGUAGAGGCAGGUGGAAGUCCCGAAGUAGUGGUGAAAUGCGUAGAGAUCGGGAGGAACACCAGUGGCGAAGGCGGCCUGCUGGGCCACACCUGGACGCUG
rnacentral:rRNA from 1 species